UACGGGGGGGGCAAGCGUUGUUCGGAAUUACUGGGCGUAAAGCGCACGUAGGCGGACUGAUCAGUCAGGGGUGAAAUCCCGGGGCUCAACCCCGGAACUGCCUUUGAUACUGUCAGUCUGGAGGUCGAGAGAGGUGAGUGGAAUUCCGAGUGUAGAGGUGAAAUGCGCAGAUAUCAGGAAGAACACCAAUGGCGAAAGCAGCUCUCUGGGACGGUACUGACGCUGAGACGCGAAAGCGUGGGGAGCGAACAGG
rnacentral:rRNA from 1 species